AACGAACGCUGGCGGCAUGCCUAACACGUGCGAGUCGAACGAGACCUUCGGGUCUAGUGGCGCACGGGUGCGUAACGCGUGGGAACCUGCCCUUAGGUUCGGAAUAACUCCCCGAAAGGGGUGCUAAUACCGGAUAAUGUCUUCGGACCAAAGAUUUAUCGCCUUUGGAUGGGCCCGCGUUGGAUUAGCUAGUUGGUAGGGUAAAAGCCUACCAAGGCGACGAUCCAUAGCUGGUCUGAGAGGAUGAUCAGCCACACUGGGACUGAGACACGGCCCAGACUCCUACGGGAGGCAGCAGUGGGGAAUAUUGGACAAUGGGCGAAAGCCUGAUCCAGCAAUGCCGCGUGAGUGAUGAAGGCCUUAGGGUUGUAAAGCUCUUUUACCCGGGAUGAUAAUGACAGUACCGGGAGAAUAAGCUCCGGCUAACUCCGUG
rnacentral:rRNA from 1 species